rnacentral:rRNA from 1 species
GACGAACGCUGGCGGCGUGCCUAAUACAUGCAAGUAGAACGCUGAAGGAGGAGCUUGCUUCUCUGGAUGAGUUGCGAACGGGUGAGUAACGCGUAGGUAACCUGCCUGGUAGCGGGGGAUAACUAUUGGAAACGAUAGCUAAUACCGCAUAAGAGUAGAUGUUGCAUGACAUUUGCUUAAAAGGUGCAAUUGCAUCACUACCAGAUGGACCUGCGUUGUAUUAGCUAGUUGGUGAGGUAACGGCUCACCAAGGCGACGAUACAUAGCCGACCUGAGAGGGUGGUCGGCCACACUGGGACUGAGACACGGCCCAGACUCCUACGGGAGGCAGCAGUAGGGAAUCUUCGGCAAUGGACGGAAGUCUGACCGAGCAACGCCGCGUGAGUGAAGAAGGUUGUCGGAUCGUAAAGCUCUGUUGUAAGAGAAGAACGAGUGUGAGAGUGGAAAGUUCACACUGUGACGGUAUCUUACCAGAAAGGGACGGCUAACUACGUG